AUCUAAAAUGAAAAGUUCGGCUUGCUUCCUUGCAUCUGGAACUCCUGGGUCGGUAGUGUCUGCAGAGUCAGGGCAGGCACGAUGUCUGAAGCAAUGCCCUCUUUGUUGGAUUUUCCAGGCUCUGAGCACCACUCAGCUGUUUCUUUCCCAGGAGAGUUUUUUCAUACUGGAGACUUUGGACACAAAGUGUGAUACAUAUUGUCACCAUCCUAACACUGCUCCUCCCAGACCACCCAUUUUCUAGUUAAGGACUCCUCAUCUUAGAGGAACUUAGUAGGACAGAAGUUUCAGCCAGGAAGAACUACCAGGUCAGCUCC
rnacentral:lncRNA from 1 species